rnacentral:tRNA from 1 species
GGUGGCUCAGUGGUAGAGUGCUUGUCUGGCAUGCAUGAGGCCCUGGGUUCGAUUCCUCAGCACCA